ACGGAGACUGCAGCUGGUCCUGAGCUCACGGCGAACCCACCUCGCCGGCAGAGCGCUGGGGGCAGCACCUCCUGGGGCAGCACAGGCCGCGGGGGGGGGGGGCGGUCCCUCCCCGUCCUCCGCCCCAUUGGCGCAGGGCGACCGCAGCGCCCCCCCACCCCGCGCUGCUGUGCGGCUCCUCACGUACUCGCCGCCCCUCGCCCCCGCCGGAGCGCAGGCCCGCGGCGUGCUGACCGGCAGCCCCUUCCGCCUAUUGGCGGCCGCCUUUGCCCUCUUUCACCCAAUGGCAGCUGGGGGUGGGACACCGUCUUCCCGUUGCCGCUUUUUAUUGGCGGGAAGCCUCUGAGCGACGGGAAAGCCGCGGGCCGAUCAUCCCGUUGGUGGGCGGGCCGUCCGUCGGAGCUCUCCGCCAAUCGCCGCUCGCGCUGCCCUUGUUGUUCGCUGCCCGGCAACUCCACGGGCCGUCGGAGCCGUCGCUCAGCGACGCCUCGCCCAGUCGGUGCGAAGGUGGCGCCGGCUUCGCCCAAUGCGCGUGGCGAGGAGGCGGGCGGCAGGUGCUGGCCCGGAGCGAGGCGCUCUCUUGCCGCCCCCCUUCCGCUCUGCCCGUCGCCGGGCCGCUCGGGCGCUGUGCUGACGGCAGCUGGGGGCCGCCGCCGCCUCCGAGGGGACAGCCCGCGGCUCAGGUACCGCCGCCCGCCGCGCGGGGCCUUCCUCUGCCGCCUCCGGCUCCGCCCCCGGGCCCGCGGCGCUCGGAGCCCCCCACGCCUCAGCGCUGCCCCUCGGGGCGCCGCACUCCGGCCCUCGGCCCUUCCCCUCCGUUCCCGGCCCUUUCGCCGCUCCCGGCCCCUCCCCUGCUCGUCGCGGGCCCGGCUCUGCCUUUCGCUUCCGGACGGCGCCGCGCCUCCUCCUUCUCCUCCUCCUCCUCCUUUCGGCCCGGCCCCGCGGGAUGCGGCCUUGUGCCCGGCCCGGCCCGCGCCUCCCGGCCCCGCUGCUUUGUCCCCGCGGGGCUCAGGCCGCAGCCCGGCGCUGCCGAUGGCUGCGUGCUGUGAUGGCGGGGCGGUGUGCGGAGCCCGGCGGAGAGCUGCGGCGUUACGCCGCUUGUUUUAUCUUUAUAAUAAUUAA
rnacentral:lncRNA from 1 species